CAAAAUUCCCUCCCUUCCCUCGUUUUCUACUCCCCAACCCCAACACUCUCACGCACACAAUACACUCUCACGCACACCAAACUUUUCUCCAUAUGUAUGUAUAUCUAUCAAAACCCUCAUUUCCCUCUCUAUCUCAAAUGCUAAAACCUCUCUACAACUCCUUUUGGAUUUUGUUAAUUUGAUUGAUUUAAUAACGUAAUAAUCAAUAAUGGCUGGGCGUGGAGCGCCGAACCGUGACGCGGCAGCGACUCCUCAGGCGGCGGGGUCCAAUGGCCAGAUCCUCCACCACCAGCAGACGCCGCCAACGUCGAUCAGGCGCCAUCUCCCGUUCGCGUCCAUGAAGCCGCCGUUCGUUUCCCCAGAUGACUAUCACCGUUUCUCCACUCCUGCACGCGCCGCCACCUCCGCCGAUCACCCUCCCGAAGCUAUUGUCGUCAAGUCUCCUCCCUUGAAGCGGAAGAACGGGUAUCAAAGUAAUGAAGUUGAGUCUAGUGAGUGGACAGCAAGUCCAGGAUAUAGUGAUGUCGCUAACAGCCCUUUCCGUACACCUGUAUCUGCUAAAGGAGGAAGAACAAAUUGUCGUUCAAAGGUCACCAAGAACAACAGAUCUGUACCUUCAACCCCGAUUGCUAAUGUUGAUUCUCCAUCCUCUCUUACUCCUGCUGGCAGCUGCCGCUACGACAGCUCCUUGAGUCUUUUGACAAAGAAAUUUAUCACUUUAAUAAAGCAUGCAGAGGAUGGUGAACUUGAUCUAAACAAAGCAGCUGACACUUUGCAGGUGCAGAAGAGACGGAUAUAUGACAUAACUAAUGUCCUUGAGGGGAUUGGUCUUAUUGAAAAAAAGCUAAAGAACAGAAUUCGCUGGAAGGGACUUGAUCCUUCAAGACCUGGAGAAGUGGACAAUGAUGCCACUCUUUUGCAGGCGGAAAUUGAGAAUCUUUCCUUGGAAGAAAGAAACUUGGAUGAGCAAAUAAGGCAAAUGCAGGAAAAGUUGAGAUACUUGAGCGAAGAUGAAAACAACCAAAAAUGGCUUUUUGUAACCGAAGAUGAUAUUAAAAUUUUGCCCUGUUUCCAGAAUGAAACCCUCAUAGCGAUCAAAGCACCCCAUGGGACCACCCUUGAAGUUCCAGAUCCUGAUGAGGCUGUUGAUUAUCCUCAACGGAGAUACAGAAUUAUACUUAGAAGUACAAUGGGUCCAAUUGAUGUUUACCUUGUCAGCCAAUUUGAGGAGAAGUUUGAAGAGAUGAAUGGAGUUGAACAAUCAACUAAUUUUCCUAUUGCCUCGAGUUCUGGGUCAAAUGUGAAUCCAGCAGUGGAGAGAUCCUCCUUGGCACACAGUGCACCACAAAUUGAAACUCAGACACAAGAGAGCCAUGAACUUAACUCAGUGUUUGGUGCUUCACAGGAAUAUGCUGGAGGAAUGACAAGGAUUAUCCCCUCAAAUAUUGAUAAUGAUGCAGACUAUUGGCUUUUAUCAGAUGCAGAUGUCAGCAUCACGGACAUGUGGAAGACAGAUUCCGGUAUGGAGUGGAAUGAUGUAAAUUUGCUUCAUGAAGAGUUGGAAAUGGCUGCAAUUGGUACACCAGGACCACAGACUCCAUCAUCUAGUGUUGCUGAUUUACACCCGGUUGCCAAUGUGCCACCUAGGUGAUACACACUUUGUAUAAUUUGUUGGACAAGCUGACUCUUGUCCUAUUCAGAUGUAAACUUUGGAAGAGGACAUGCAAGAAGAAUCAAGAUGGCGGGUCACUGGGAGCCAUGGCUCCAAUGUACCAGUUGCAGAAUUGCUUGACCUCGUCCACACUUUCUAGGUGAAAAAGCAUUCAUUUUUGCCAUUUCCAUGUGAAAUGUGGUGGAUUGUCUGAAAUGAGGUGAGUGACAUAGGCUAAACUUUAUGAAUACAACACAUGAACUGAGGCUGAAAUUUAUUGCUCAUCCUGAUCUCUGGUUAGAUAGCAAGACCAUAGGAUAAAGUUACAUUGCUGCUGAUUAAUACCUCAUCGAUUCUUCAAAAACAUAACAUAUGCUGCUAUGUAAAACUGAUAUUACAUUAUUCAUCAAAUGAAGCAGUGCAUCCAGAUAUGAAACUGGGUAUCUACAACUUGCAAAUACUAAAAUCCAACUUGUGGGCUGGUAUGAUCUUUCGAUUUCAUUUAGGCCACUAAAACGUCCGUCUACUUAGUAAUGUGGUUACCUCGUUCCGAAACUUAAUCCAGCAACAAGAUGGAUGAGAACUGAACACAACUCUGCUCACAAACUCAAAAGCUUGAGGACACUGUUCUGUUUGAUAAGCUAAUAACUCAUGGAGUAUUUUAAAUUACUUGGAUUGAGCUCAUCUUAAGUUUGAGCUAUCAAAAGCUUAUUUUUGAAGUGGUUAGAAUGAUAAUUCUGUACAAAUUGUAAUUUCUUUUGGAAUAUUGAUUGAUUGUAUCAAAAUAUGAAAGGUUGAUUAAUAUUAUGAGACUAUGUUAUUUGUUGCAAGA